rnacentral:rRNA from 1 species
UACGUAGGGGGCAAGCGUUAUCCGGAUUUACUGGGUGUAAAGGGAGCGUAGACGGAGCAGCAAGUCUGAUGUGAAAACCCGGGGCUCAACCCCGGGACUGCAUUGGAAACUGUUGAUCUAGAGUGCCGGAGAGGUAAGCGGAAUUCCUAGUGUAGCGGUGAAAUGCGUAGAUAUUAGGAGGAACACCAGUGGCGAAGGCGGCUUACUGGACGGUAACUGACGUUGAGGCUCGAAAGCGUGGGGAGCAAACAGG